ACCAAGCGACCUACAGGUCCGCUGGCUUUGCAGUGAGCACACAGGGCAGUGCUGCUUGCGCGAAGCCCUUCCUUUGGCAGCCUUCUGGCCUCAGCCUCUGGCCUCAGCCUGUGCUGGUAAGCCACGAAAGCUGCGGUUUGUGUCCGAGCUCUUGGAGGAGGAAAGUAAGAGUCAUGGCAUUUUUUCUUUGAGUGCACGUGAGGUAUGGGGCAGCUGGAUGCCAAUCUGCUUUCCUGACAUAGCAGUUCUCCGACUAGUCUUGAGAAGCCUUCUCGCUUUUAAGUCUUUGGACUUUUUUUUUCUCUAAUCUGCUUUGUUUUCAUGUGACUGUUCUGGGUUUGGUGCAGCAGGACCCAUUGAAAGUCAUUAGUAUUGCUCUUCUUUUCCCCUCUCAAAGAAACUGUAAGCUUCUAGCACCUUUCUGUGUUUGUGUUCUUUUAAUGUCAAGCUGGUUUUGCCAUCUAGCAGACUCUAGAGGAGCGUAGCAAUACUGACUGCCCAUGCCGUGCAGCACAGGGAGCCCUUCCCUUGGAGAGGAACAAGAGGACGGACCCCAGCACCGUGCCGGUAGCGCUGAGCACAGCCCAGGUGCCCUUACGCUGCUCUCAAAUGCCGUGGAUGGACAGAACAGCAGCACGUGUAAAUCUGAUGUAUGUUGCAUUUAUAAAUGCACAGUCAUCGUAGCCUGCAUGCUGCAUGUGGGCUCCCCCUGGAAGAGGGAUGAAGCAAACAGGCGUGGAGACGUGGAAAAAGCUGUGACCCAUCUCCCUGCAAGGCUGCUGCAAGAGCCGGGGCGAUGCAAGGACAGCCGGUGGGCUCUGUGCACUGGGGUGCUGGCUCCUGGCAGGUGGUUAUCAUGGAAUAAAUUCAGUUAUCAGAA